UCGGGAAUAUUGGACAAUGGGCGCAAGCCUGAUCCAGCAAUGCCGCGUGUGUGAAGAAGGUCUUCGGAUUGUAAAGCACUUUCGGCGGGGACGAUGAUGACGGUACCCGCAGAAGAAGCCCCGGCUAACUUCGUGCCAGCAGCCGCGGUAAUACGAAGGGGGCUAGCGUUGCUCGGAAUUACUGGGCGUAAAGGGCGCGUAGGCGGCGGUGUCAGUCAGGCGUGAAAUUCCUGGGCUUAACCUGGGGGCUGCGCUUGAUACGGCAUUGCUAGAGGGUGGAAGAGGGUCGUGGAAUUCCCAGUGUAGAGGUGAAAUUCGUAGAUAUUGGGAAGAACACCGGUGGCGAAGGCGGCGACCUGGUCCAUUACUGACGCUGAGGCGCGACAGCGUGGGGAGCAAACAGGAUUAGAUACCCUGGUAGUCCACGCCGUAAACGAUGUGCGCUGGAUGUUGGGGCUCUUAGAGCCUCAGUGUCGUAGCUAACGCGGUAAGCGCACCG
rnacentral:rRNA from 1 species